rnacentral:lncRNA from 1 species
CAGAGUGCUUCGCUCCUGGUGCUCUACAAGGACUAUAGAGGCAACGUCAAAAGAAAUAAAACUCUACAUUGUUUGCAGAUACAGCUACUUUGGGGAAACCUUGUUUCCCAGGAGUAAAGAAACAGUUACAAGCCUCCCACACAUUUGUGCCUAUAAAGCUGCUGCAACAAACAGACCAUGGCUCAGUGGAGUGUUUUACACAAUCUGAUUAUAUACAUGGUAAGCAUCAGAAGACCUUCAGCAUAAUAGGAUUGCUUAAAGGUGAAUAAUUGGAAAUUGAAUAGCUAAAUAGCCCUAUUUAAUUUAAAUAAUACAUUCUUUUCUCUCUAUUCCUUGCCUUCUUUAAAAACUUGGGCCCAAACUGACCUCCUGCAGAACACUUUCAUAUAAAAUAUUUAUUCAAUUCUGACACAAUUAUGUGAAUUUAAUCUCUAGUUUUAUAUGCAAGGACAAUGCCUCCAGAAAAACUAUCGACUACAUAGAUAAUUCAAUGGAAUUUAGAAUUCAAAAUGGUAUACAUUAUCAUCUAAGUCUACUGGAAAGGUUGCCUAGACCUUCUGGCAGUGAAGAACUUUCAGAUGAGUACUCAUCCAGCAAUGGAACAUAAUCUCUGGAUGUCAGUUGUUUCAUUAUAUUUAGAUAUUUAAAUUAUAGAGUUAAAUUAUAGUGUUAAUAUUAUAGUAGCAGAGAAUCUAGGGGAAUUCAUUUAACAUUCUUCAUUAAUAUUCUUUACUCAAUCUCAAAUAGCAAAUUUUCUCCAACAAAUUUUUCUUGUAUUUCAUUUUUUGCAUAUUUUGGAGGUAUAAUUUAUGUACCAUAAAAUUCACCAAUUUUGAAAUAAAAAUUCAAUAAUUUGUGCAGUCAUUACCAUAAUCACAUUUUAUAACAUGUUUAUCACCUCCCCACAAAAUGCUGUACAUAUUGGCAGUCACUUGACAUUCUCCCCUACCUACAGCCCUUGACAACC